rnacentral:rRNA from 1 species
UACGAAGGGGGAGCUAGCGUUGCUCGGAAUCACUGGGCGUAAAGGGUGCGUAGGCGGGUCUUUUAAGUCAGGGGUGAAAUCCUGGAGCUCAACUCCAGAACUGCCUCUGAUACAGCACGUCUUGAGUCCGAUAGAGGUGGGUGGAAUUCCUAGUGUAGAGGUGAAAUUCGUAGAUAUUAGGAAGAACACCGGUGGCGAAGGCGGCCCACUGGAUCGGUACUGACGCUGAGGUGCGAAAGCGUGGGGAGCGAACAGG